rnacentral:rRNA from 1 species
AACGAACGCUGGCGGCAGGCCUAACACAUGCAAGUCGAGCGCCCCGCAAGGGGAGCGGCGGACGGGUGAGUAACGCGUGGGAACGUGCCCUUUGCUACGGAAUAGCCCCGGGAAACUGGGAGUAAUACCGUAUAAGCCCUACGGGGGAAAGAUUUAUCGGCAGAGGAUCGGCCCGCGUUGGAUUAGGUAGUUGGUGGGGUAAUGGCCUACCAAGCCGACGAUCCAUAGCGGGUGUGAGAGGAUGAUCAGCCACACUGGGACUGAGACACGGCCCAGGCUCCUACGGGAGGCAGCAGUGGGGAAUCUUGGACAAUGGGCGCAAGCCUGAUCUAGCCAUGCCGCGUGAGCAAUGAAGGCCUUAGGGUUGUAAAGCUCUUUCGUGGGGGAAGAUAAUGACUGUACCCCAAGAAGAAGCCCCGGCUAACUCCGUGCCAGCCGCCGCCGUAAAAC